rnacentral:rRNA from 1 species
GACGAACGCUGGCGGCGUGCCUAAUACAUGCAAGUAGAACGCUGAAGAGAGGAGCUUGCUCUUCUUGGAUGAGUUGCGAACGGGUGAGUAACGCGUAGGUAACCUGCCUUGUAGCGGGGGAUAACUAUUGGAAACGAUAGCUAAUACCGCAUAACAAUGGAUGACACAUGUCAUUUAUUUGAAAGGGGCAAUUGCUCCACUACAAGAUGGACCUGCGUUGUAUUAGCUAGUAGGUGAGGUAAUGGCUCACCUAGGCGACGAUACAUAGCCGACCUGAGAGGGUGAUCGGCCACACUGGGACUGAGACACGGCCCAGACUCCUACGAGAGGCAGCAGUAGGGAAUCUUCGGCAAUGGGGCAACCCUGACCGAGCAACGCCGCGUGAGUGAAGAAGGUUUUCGGAUCGUAAAGCUCUGUUGUAAGUCAAGAACGGGUGUGAGAGUGGAAAGUUCACACUGUGACGGUAGCUUACCAGAAAGGGACGGCUAACUACGUG